UGGAGCCUGCGGUUUAAUUGGACUCAACGCCGGGCAGCUCACCGGAUAAGACAGCUGGAUGAUAGCCGGGCUGAAGACUCUGCUUGACUAGCUGAGAGGAGGUGCAUGGCCGUCGUCAGUUCGUACUGUGAAGCAUCCUGUUAAGUCAGGCAACGAGCGAGACCCACGCCAACAGUUGCCAGCAUGUCCUCCGGGAUGAUGGGGACACUGUUGGGACCGCCUCUGCUAAAGAGGAGGAAGGAAUGGGGCAACGGUAGGUCAGCAUGCCCCGAAUUAUCCGGGCUACACGCGGGCUACAAUGGUCAGGACAAUGGGUAUCAACACCGAAAGGUGAAGGCAAUCUCCUAAACCUGUCCUUAGUUCGGAUUGUGGGCUGCAACUCGCCCACAUGAAGCUGGAAUCUGUAGUAAUCGCGUCUCAACAUGGCGCGGUGAAUAUGUCCCUGCUCCUU
rnacentral:rRNA from 1 species